rnacentral:rRNA from 1 species
UACGGAGGGUGCAAGCGUUAUCCGGAUUCACUGGGUUUAAAGGGUGCGUAGGUGGGCAGGUAAGUCAGUGGUGAAAUCUCCGAGCUUAACUCGGAAACUGCCAUUGAUACUAUCUGUCUUGAAUUAUCUGGAGGUGAGCGGAAUAUGUCAUGUAGCGGUGAAAUGCUUAGAUAUGACAUAGAACACCAAUUGCGAAGGCAGCUCACUACGGAUAUAUUGACACUGAGGCACGAAAGCUAGGGGAGCGAAUGGG